GCGAAGGUGGCGAAAUUGGUAGACGCGCUAGCUUCAGGUGCUAGUGCCCUGAAGGGCAUGAGGGUUCAAAUCCCUCUCUUCGCA
rnacentral:tRNA from 1 species